UACGUAGGGUGCAAGCGUUGUCCGGAAUUAUUGGGCGUAAAGAGCUCGUAGGCGGUCUGUCGCGUCUGCUGUGAAAACUCAGGGCUUAACCCUGAGCUUGCAGUGGGUACGGGCAGACUAGAGUGCGGUAGGGGAGACUGGAAUUCCGUGGUGUAGCGGUGAAAUGCGCAGAUAUCAGGAGGGAACACCGGUGGGCCGAAGGCGGGUCUCUGGGCCGUAACUGACGCUGGAGGAGCGGAAAGCAUGGGGGAGCGAACAGG
rnacentral:rRNA from 1 species